rnacentral:misc_RNA from 1 species
GACUUGACCAAUUGUGAGAAAACUCUACUCAUGGAAACACCAGAGAGAUCAUCCAAAUUUGGUGUUCCGUUAUGAGCAGCAGAAGCACCGGGAUCAACUUGACUGAAAUCAUCGACUUGUGGAGAGAGCUCGCCAAUAAGGAUGGUGCUGUUUUCAUCAGGAUCAUCUUGAAUGACAGCUUCUUGAAGUUGAAGUGCGUACUCCAGAUUCCACAGCACAUCGCCCAUUGAUGGCCUGUCUACACCAAAAUCAGCUAAGCAUUUCUCUGCUGUUUCUCCAAACUUCCUGAGG